rnacentral:rRNA from 1 species
CACGUAGGCGGUGAAUCGGGUUGAAAGUGAAAGUCGCCAAAAAGUGGCGGAAUGCUCUCGAAACCAAUUCACUUGAGUGAGACAGAGGAGAGUGGAAUUUCGUGUGUAGAGGUGAAAUCCGUAGAUCUACGAAGGAACGCCAAAAGCGAAGGCAGCUCUCUGGGUCCCUACCGACGCUGGGGUGCGAAAGCAUGGGGAGCGAACA